rnacentral:lncRNA from 1 species
UGUUACAUGGUAGGGUAUUUAUUCAGUACAUUUUUUCUUUUUCAAGUAAAGUAUAAGGGAGUUGUACUCCAGGCUAGUAGGUGGCGGUUAAGCAACAAAUUGGAUGCCAACCGCCGUUAAACCUCAGAAGAAGAAGAUUGUCGGACCAUCAACGGAAAAGGAAGAACGUCAUUAUACGGAAGAGGAAGGAAAGUGUGUUUGAAACUAAAAUCGCUAGUAACAACCAGCAUCAAACGUAACAUUGCUUGUCAAAUGGAUAUCAUUUCUCGUUAUGGUUUGUAGUUAUGCUGGCUUUGCUUCUGCUGUCUUUCUACAACAUCCGAAGGUGGGUUGUUCACACCAUCGCUUAGCUAGCUUCAGAAAGCUCAGCUACCUAGCUAGCUAAGUUAGCUAGUAAACACAAUGUAAGCUGGCUAGCAAAGAUACAUCCUGAAGUGAUAUAACGUUGUUAGCAAUACGAUGUGAAGUUAUAUGGUGUUAUUCUCAACUUGCUAUCAUCUUAGAUCAUCCAGAUGCAGGUUUACGUAGCUAACGUUAACCAGUUAACUGGGUCAGCAUGUCAUUACGUUAACUAGUUAACUGGGUCAGCAUGUCAUUACGUUAACAAGUAAUGUUGACAUUAUGGUCAACUGUGGCUCCCGAGUGGUGUAGCGGUCCGGGUUUGGCCCGUGUAGGCCGUUCAUUGUAAAUAAGAAUUAGUUCUUAACUGACUUGUCUAGUUAAACAAAGGUCACAAAAAAUGACAAUUUCCAGUGACACAGUAGCCAGCUAGCUCUGCAGACCCUGUUCUACUUCAGUAGCCAGCUAGCUCUGCAGACCCUGUUCUACUUCAGUAGUCAGCUAGCUCUGCAGACCCUGUUCUACUUCAGUAGCCAGCUAGCUCUGCAGACCCUGUUCUACUUCAGUAGCCAGCUAGCUCUGCACACCCUGUUCUACUUCAGUAGCCAGCUAGCUCUGCAGACCCUGUUCUACUUCAGUAGCCAGCUGGCUCUGCACACCCUGUUCUACUUCAGUAGCCAGCUAGCUCUGCAGACCCUGUUCUACUUAAGUAGCCAGCUAGCUCUGCAGACCCUGUUCUACUUCAGUAGCCAGCUAGCUCUGCAGACCCUGUUCUACUUCAGUAGCCAGCUAGCUCUGCAGACCCUGUCCUACUUCAGUAGCCAGCUAGCUCUGCAGACCCUGUUCUACUUCAGUAGCCAGCUAGCUCUGCAGACCCUGUUCUACUUCAGUAGCCAGCUAGCUCUGCCGACCCUGUUCUACUUCAGUAGCGAGUAUCAAGUGUAUGAGUGUGUCCUCAUUGCACGUCUGUUAUUUUAUGUCGCACCUCAAAUGAUGAGCUGGUGGACUGAGACCAGAUGGGGGGGUGUAAUAGGUGGUGACAUGACAGUGUGUUAUCAGAGGACUGAGACCAGAUGGGGGGUGUAAUAGGUGGUGCCAUGAAAGGGUGUUAUCAGAGGACUGAGACCAGAUGGGGGGUGAAAUAGGUGGUGACAUGACAGUGUGUUAUCAGAGGACUGAGACCAGAUGGGGGGUGAAAUAGGUGGUGACAUGACAGUGUGUUAUCAGAGGACUGAGACCAGAUGGGGGGGUGUAAUAGGUGGUGACAUGACAGUGUGUUAUCAGAGGACUGAGACCAGAUGGGGGGUGUAAUAGGUGGUGACAUGACAGUGUGUUAUCAGAGGACUGAGACCAGAUGGGGGGUGUAAUAGGUGGUGACAUGACAGUGUGUUAUCAGAGGACUGAGACCAGAUGGGGGGGUGUAAUAGGUGGUGACAUGAGGGUGGGUAUAAUUUGUGUAACGUUACAACAAAAAAAAAAAACUUCGUAAAUAUCAAGGUUGCCAACAAACAACACAAACAAAGUCGUAUAACGGUAGAAUGAGAUACCGGGUAGAGAGUGAACAAUGUAAUAACGUUUUUCAACCACCACGUUUAUUCUGAAAAAUGUCUCUCUUCGUUCUGGUAGCCUCCACCAUUCCUCGUUCGUUGGUUUAGUUAUUAUUUCCGGGGUUCCUGCAUUCGUAAGGUGAACUCUGUUGCGCCUCAAUUAGGGAAUCGCUAUGGUUGAAAUGUAACUAAUCACUGCCAGCCCCAGUAUUUUAUUAGCUAGGUGGCUUGGACACAAUUGUUACCGAUGAUACUGUAUACACCAGCCUACUAUUAUUACAUAAACAUACAUUGUAUUUUACCAAGUUCUCUCUGUGUUAAUCCUGUUUCCCAAAUAUAUCAGCUAACUUGUGUCGAUGUUGUUUAGUUCAACUUGCCUAGUUAAAUAAAGAUUAAAUAAAUUAGAACAUAUAAAAUAUAUGCUUUGACCUAUUCCAGGUAACCUAAAGAUGCUUGAUUCACUACAGCUGCUUUUGAAGAACUUUCCAGUCGUAUUUGCUUUACAUUCCGACUUUACAUUCCGACUUUUGAACGUGUGUUUAUUGGACAUAUAUAUUAGUGUCUAAUAAAACAGAGCAUCCCAUCUGUUUUAAGGUUAUAGUUUGUGUGAUGUAGUUCCUCUUGAUGUCCACUAGGUGUCAGCACAGUUUCAAUAAUGUCACACCAGGUUACUACAUGUUUUCAUGUUGUGAAUGCUACAUGUGUAGACCUUACAGUGAAAUGUUGACUUACAAGCCCUUAACCAACAAUUUAGUUUUAAGAAAAAUAUGUGUUAAGUAAAAAAUAAGAAAUAAAAGUAACAAAUAAUUAAAGAGCAGCAGUAAAAUCAAAAUAGCGAGGCUCGAUACAUGGGGUACCGGUUAGUCGAGGUAAUUGAGGUGUUCCUUUCAAGUCCAGUGGUGUAAAUUACUUAACAAAAAUGUAUUUAAACUACUCCACUACAUUCCGUUUAUAUAUCUGGUUAUUUUGUAUCUGUACUUUUACUCUCCCUACUGCCUCUGAUCUGGAGGACUCACUAAACAGAGAACAUCCCUGGUCAUCCCUACUGCCUCUGAUCUGGAGGACUCACUAAACAGAGAACAUCCCUGGUCAUCCCUACUGCCUCUGAUCUGGAGGACUCACUAAACAGAGAACAUCCCUGGUCAUCCCUACUGCCUCUGAUCUGGAGGACUCACUAAACAGAGAACAUCCCUGGUCAUCCCUACUGCCUCUGAUCUGGAGGACUCACUAAACAGAGAACAUCCCUGGUCAUCCCUACUGCCUCUGAUCUGGAGGACUCACUAAACACAUGCUUCAUUUGUAAAUGAUGUCUGAUUGUUGGAGUGUUCCCCUGGUUAUUUCUUAAAUAAAAUAACAAGAGAAUCGUUCUGUCUGGUUUGCUUAAUGUAUGGAAGGUCAAAUCAUUUAUACUUUUACCACUGAUACUUAAGUAUAUUUUAGCAAUGACGUUUACUUAGUAUUUUACUGGGUGACUUUCACUUUUACUUGAGUCAUUUUCUAUUAACAUCAUCUUAUUAUUGUACCUUUUUCCCUUCAUUUGCCUCCUACUGUCUAUAAGCUGUCAUAACAUGUGGGUUUUUUCAUGGGGACCAGGUAUCGGAAAGCCUUUGAAGGAUCUACAAAGCCCCCAGGUAAAAGUUGGCUUUUGCAGACAAGGAUUGUAUUGUUUCUCCACGACAUAAUAUGUUAUCACAACUCUAUUAAAAUUACAUUCUACACAAGGUGUCACUUCAUUCCUUCUAUUUGAUGGGAACUCCUGGUUAGGAAUGGGGAACGAGUGCUAUCUCUCUG